GAUGAAACGCUGGCGGCGUGCUUAACACAUGCAAGUCGAGCGAAGCACUUUUGCGGAUUUCUUCGGAUUGAAGCAACUGUGACUGAGCGGCGGACGGGUGAGUAACGCGUGGGUAACCUGCCUCAUACAGGGGAUAACAGUUGGAAGCGGCUGCUAAUACCGCAUAAGCGCACAGUACCGCAUGGUACGGUGUGAAAAACUCCGGUGGUAAUGAGAUGGACCCCGCGUCUGAUUAGGUAGUUGGUGGGGUAACGGCGUACCAAGCGACGAUCAGUAGCGACCUGAGAGGUGACGGCACAUUGGGACUGAGACACGGCCAAACUCCUACGGGAGG
rnacentral:rRNA from 1 species